ACCGGUCUCCGCAGCAUCAGGAUAAAGACCUUCUUUUUACCCAUAACCUUUCUCUGCAGCAUUGGAACCAAGAUCGGGCUUGGCAUAGUUACGUGGUUCCCCUUCUAUUUAACUAACACUAACUGAAGCUAACCAGAAGCUUUCUUCUCAUGCGACUCUUGGAUCGAAAAGAGGCUGCUGGACUGGACCACAGCUGAAACUGCCAGGCACGGACUAAAAGCUUUUAUCAGGGAUUCCUGAGUCAAACGACUACCAUACAUAGCAUAGAGCUGGAAGCUGCACUAGUGUAUAGAGAAGACUGGAUGUGAACACGGGCGGACAUUGGCUAUGUAUGGGGCACUCACUAAUCACUAUUAGUAGGAAACAACUAGCAGAAACAAAGAUGAAAGCACUUUCACUCCUUGCUCUUCAGCACGUACUCACACGAGGGACUCUCAAAUCUCUAUUUCAGACCAUAAUCUUUUGAUCCCUUUACUGAAGUGAUUGAUAGGAGGGCUAAAAAAUCAUAGGGCUUCUUCUAUUUUUAGUGUGAACUCACUUCUAUUCUAUAUCAAGAUAGGGGCUUCAGUACUUAGAUGACCGCCUGGUGGAAGACCUGGUUCUACCACACAAGGGCAGCUUUUGUAGUCUAGGAUUAUUUUCCGCAUAUGUAAUUUCACGUCAAUGUGGAAAUGUCCGAUCUUAUUCGAAAAUAGAAGGUCUUCAUGAAGGUCUGUCUUGUUUCAGGAAUAUAGGUACCGAAGUUCAAUAGCAGUAGGUACCAAGGAGAAGACGAGUCAGGCCGAUUGACAAGACUAGCUAGGCUAACCUUCCAGCUAUACUCCAUCCAAUAUCGAACAUAAGUGCUAAAGGUUUCAUGUGAUGCUGACCUCAAUGAACCAGACCUCGAGAAUUCGUUCAUCCCUUCGCUCCGAGGAUUGGUCGAGUACUUGGCCACAUGCAUGAGUAGGCCUGUUGCCGGGAUGUCCCAUUAAAAAGGCAGGUCCCAUAUUUGAAAUACAAAAAUAAGAUCAGAUAGCGCUCAAGAGGUUUUUUUCCAUACGAGAAAUCCUUCACUCGCAGGGAAUUGAAAUAGAUGUGUUGAAGAUCAUCAAAGAAAGGAAGAAGACUGAAUUCGAUCCAUCUCCUCCCUUUUUUUAAACCAAGAGCUACUCCUCCCUUUUCUUUUUUUUAUGUAAUUUAAAUACGAUUUUGUUUGUGUUCAUGUUUUCAAUUUAGAACCCCACGGAAGUGAAUAGAAAAAAGAAAAAAUACCCCUUUGAUACGCCUUCCUUUACCUAUUUCUAGAUUGAUUGAUUUUCAAUGGAGGGAAACUUGCCAUUUCUUCUUUCCAUUGAAAUUGUACAUUUUGUUGAUUCUGAACUAAUUGCAUCGUUUUAGUUCCCAUCGAGCUUUCUUGCCUAGUGACUAAGGAUUUUCACACUUGUUGUGUCUAUAAAAGAUUUUCUCAUAAAACACUAACAUAAGUGUUAGAGGGAUUCACUUUCGAUAAGAAUCCAAAAGCAAGUUCCCUAUACUACCUUCUUUCCCUCUUCUGUUUCUGUCUGUAAGAGACAGUGCAUCUGGCAGGAAUCGAACCUACUUUUCGACCCAUUUUGCCUUUCUAGGUUGGUGGGCGCUUUCACCAUUCAGCCAUGGAUGCUUUAGCGAGUGAACUAGGUUUUUAUUUGAGAGCGAACUAGGUUUUUAGUGGUAUUCCUUCUCGAGCUUCUAUGUCUUCCAUUAAGGGAGAUUCGGGAAAAGAUGGAAUAGGAAGACGUGUUUCCAGAAUGAACAAGAUACGGGUAGAGAAGGGGAAGUACCAGAUCGGCUAAUGCUUCCAGUGACGGUGUCCUGGACUAGGGGGUACUCACCACGUCGUCUCCCGACCAGUUGGAUUGGGCCGAAGACCCCCUUGGUCGUUUACUCAUGGGUAGGUUCGGACAGCCGAUGACAUAUACGAGGAAUAUUCCACAAGACUUGGUGAUCAAGACAAGGACUCCUCUCCACCGACGUAUUCGACUAGGACUCUUGUUAUACUAGGCCUCUAGUAUGUUAUAUAAGCCGAGGCCAGGCUAGUUGAUAGAUUAUGAUAUUACUCAUCAUACCUCUAUGGUUUAGACCACAACAUAUGAUCUCGAGGUGGAUCAACUCUCGUAAUCCUCAUAUUCAUCAAGAUCAGUCAACCAGGAAGUAGGGUAUAACCUCCAUUAAGAGGGCCCAAACCGGGGUAAACACCGUGUCCCUUAUCCCCUGUUACCCAUCGAUCCUAGAUUCACAGCUUGGGACCUCCUACCCGAGAUCCGCCGGUUUUGACACCGACAUUGGUGCUUUCAUUGAGAGUUCUGUUGUGUGGUCGGCAAAGGAUCGAUGGCUCGUCUGCAGAUUAACUGCGACAUCGGCAUCUUCGUCACCGGCUCGACUGGUCACCUCGGCUUGACCGAGGACUGUGCCCUGCCUCCGAUAGUCAUGUUCGGACAAGGGCCUUCAUCAACAUAAACUCUUAUUUCUAUCAUGAUCAUGGAGGAAUUAUCAUCGGAGCUCGGGGGCUCAACAUCAACAUUGCCCCCGGGCGACCAUGCUGUUUUUCCAGAUAGCAAACUUGUAUUCGCUGCCACCACCUCCUUGAGCAUUGCUUUGACGAUUCCUUCGGUGGAAUUGUGCGGAAUUAAGUCUACAACAGCCAUGCAAAAUUUCGUUGAGUUCCGAUGGAGGAAUCUCCGGCAAUCUACGAUAUACCGGAGCCCUGUCAAAUCUAGACGGGAAUCUGGACGAGUUUAGGGCGUGGUCUCCAGAGCCUAUCUCGGAGGUCCUUUGGAAGAUCCAACCAUUCAUCUGCUGCGGAACUCCCAUAUCUACCACCCCUCCGAAUUUCAGCUCAAUCCGACGGUUCAAACUCGAGGAACCUUCCGAUGAGUGGACCACUUUUUCAGAUCUGUUUUCUACGCGAGAACGAAUCCAACCCGAGUUCAUCUUUUUUAUCGCAAUUUCGGACAUCCUUUUUGAAGGAAGUUUUGCAUGGGGUAUUGUGUUUUGUUCCCAAACACAUCCCACUAAUUUUAAGGUCUUUUCCAAUAUGAUUUUCACCAUCGCGCUGGUGUUAAACCAGCCCGUCAACGUUGCUCCACGGUUGCCGACCUGCGCUAGACACGUCGUCGCUUUGUUGAGCCGAUCUCAACUUCUUCGAAUCAUCAUCUGGGCAAGCCGAACAAGAUUUCAGCAUCGCGAAGGAUAAAUCAUCACCAACAUCGCCGCCCCACGGAUUACACGGAUCGGUCACACCGGCAUCGCCGCACGGUCACUUCAUCAAGCCGGCAUUGACCGCGUCACAAGUUACAACCUGCGCCGGCAUGGCCGCACUGUUGCUUUUUAAGCCGAUGUCCGUCACGCUUAACUGCUUCAACAUCUCGGCUGACAUGAUAGCUGCAACGUCUCCUUAGCGACCUGCUCCGUCACCUCGGCUAGACCGGGGGCUUCGCCAUCCCUUCUUCAACCUACUCCGGAGACUUCGGCGUCGUCAGCCGACCAGCUUCGUCACGUUAACUUGACCGGGGGCUUCGCCUCGGCGAGCCAACCUUUGACAGCAUCGCCAUACCGUCGCUUCACUGACCAUCAGGCAAUGGGAUCCACUUUUCUUCGGACUGCUACAACAAACAAACCAGGUAUUGUUAAUCCUGGCAAUAUUUGCUUGUUUGGGUUUAUUUUUCCCAAGGAAGUAUUACUUUGGUUUGUUCCAUCAUUUAUACACAGGUCUAUCAAAUGGUGGUCGCAUUACCGGCGGCCGCGUGGUGGUUCGGUCAGUUUCCGUACAUAGUUCGGCAAACGCCGCAUCCGGAAUUCGGGCCGACCUGUGAAUUCAGGCUUUGCCACGCCUUUAACGCAUCAUGUCGACGCCCUGCAUGGACAUUGACUUCGACGCCAGGCCACUUAUCUUUAUAUAGAUUAUUUUUCGUAAAUUAAUUGCGCGAGGAUUUUUAUAUAUUCAUAUUAUUAUUGUUGGCCUGCACUAUUUUACAUGUGUAGGUAAUGGACUUCGACUGCGUCACGUGGUCUCUUCGGCAAGCCGAUGUCGUCGUCCCAAUCGGCGUAAAUCGGCUCGCGUGAUCACUUUGUUGGUCGUGUUGCCAUACCGACGUGUUCGGUUUCCUCGGGGACUUCGGCAUCGCCAAGAGAGCUCUACCUCAUCGAGUGUUCGGUGCACAUGCCAUAUUUCCUUUAUUAGUCACUUUGCAUAAAUUAUUUAUUAUGCAACAAUUUUUUUAAUUUCUUAUCAUUACUAUUAUCCCCGGUUUGCACUAUUUUUUGUGCACAGGCAAAUGAUCCGGGUCGGGCAGUGUUGUCACCUCGGCUGGACGGGGGGCUUCGUCAACACUUCAUUAACCCACACCAGGGACUUCAGCGUCACUCUACCGGCCUGCAUUGGCCAUGCUAUGUCACCACUUCAGAGUGCCGAGCUCUUCGCUCCGCCACCUCAGGACCGGCUUGGGGAAUGGAACCUUGUCCCACAUCAAGCUCGGACCGCAUCAUCAAUGUCGAACACAUUAACCAGCAAAGUUGCUUCCAUGCUCAAAAACUUUCAGUUUUAAAUUUUGUUCGGUUCGACCAAGAAUUAUACUUUUUUUUGGCAAAAAGUCAUUUAUGAAAAACUUCCUUGUCAAAACAUUGUUUGUGACACACAAAUUCAAACACCCCGUUUAUUUAGGGGCUUCCAUUAUGAAGCCUUUCCUCUUGCAUAUGAUUAUACUUGUAUGGCUUCGUACCUUGUUCGUGUAUUACGCCACAAUAUGCACCAUGUUGACUUAAGUGUUUCGCAAGAUGGGUUGCCUGGCUCCUGUGCUUACCCCUACGUUCCCGAUUGUUCGGCUAGGGAGUAAAGGGAGCACCUCUGCGAUUGUCACGAUCGGGUCAUCCGAGCUCGGACCACAGACAGGGUGAAGCCGAAAGCUAGCGCUCUUAUUGUUUUCAAUUAUGUUCGGCACACAACGGAACUCAUGAAUACAAAAAAUCUAUUGCACAAGCCUCAUAGUAACAACAAGCAACCGAAGAAAGGUAUCGGUGAAGGUACUAUUUUCUUCGAAGACGCUUCUUACACUUCGUCAGUAAUAUAGCAUAAGUACCCUGGGCGCGCUUUGUGUGUUACAACCUUAUGGCCUGAUUGCCUGGUUAUUGGAAACACCAUCGAUAUUCUCGACAGGUGGAGUAAAUAACACUUUUUGGCCCUUGGCCGAAGAGGCAGAAGCCGACGGUCGGUUAAGACGCGUUUAAAUUCGGGUGAACACACAUAUGAUAUAUGUACUUCAGUACAUACAAUCAUUAUACAUAAAAUUCUAUUACCCAAGUCACUUGGGGGCUCUUAAAAUUUAUAUGAGUUGUUUUAUAGUAAAUGUGUUUUCUUCUUGGUCAUUGCAAAGUCUUUUUCUACCGCUCCUUUUUCGACUCGAGUGUAUGGUCAAUAGCCGGAUAGCCUGUCUUCUCUCUAAAAGCCGCUCAAGUUUAGUUUGCUAAACUAGCCUCGGAGAAGCACUCCGCCUUCGGGAUAAGGAGGUUGAAGCCGUCGGCUGACCCGCUUGAAGUCUUGAGAUCGGAUGUGUCAUAUUAAUGCACGACGGAAACACAAAAAUUUUAAGACCAAUUUUUGGAUUGGCACCGAACACUUGAUCUAGUUCGAACGUCAAGUUUACAAUGAAGCUUUGUUUGGUUUUCCAAGCCUAUGGCACUUUUAAACUAUUUGUGUGUUUCCAACAUAAGUUUUGCAGUGCAACGCCCGACACCUUUAGAGAUUCGGCAAAAACAUUCUCGAAUAUUGCUAUAUAUGCAUUGGUUUCGAAUUGUGUCUUCAGUCAAUAGUUGGGUUGCCCGGCUCCUGUGCUUGCCUCCUACGUUCCGCUUUGUUCGGCUAGGUGUGCAAAGGGAGAACCACUGCGAGUGUGCUUCCAGCUCGCAUGGUUAGGCACCUCAGUGGAGAAAGCCAAAAACUGACUAUCACAAUAAGCAUAAACUGGUCAGCAAUCCAAUGACUGUGUUAAAUGACGGGCCGUUCAUAACAUUGGCCGAAGUGUUUAUGGCUUGACCUCGGCUGUCGCCGAACACUAACUGGGGGCUAGUAACUGGCCUCCCAACUUUAAGCUCCUAUGACCAUGUGAAUGUUAUAAAGCCCGCAUAUCUGAUUGCUUUGUUUCCGCUAACACAACCGCCCCCGGGCACCGAGACGUCGGCUAAGGGUUGUUUUGUUAUUGCGGAAACACCCUGCGUAGCAUCUACAAAGGGGUGGAAGCCGACGAUGGGCCACUUUCAAAUGAUAAACAAUCGCAACGGAGUCAAAAUAAACAUAUAUCAUCAGCCUUUGUAUUCAAUAUACAAAAUGUUGCCUUCCGUAAUCAUCAUUAUAAAGCCAUAAACAUGCAUCAUUUGACUUAAGAUUUUGGCCAAGCUGGGUUGCCUGGCUCCUGUGCUUACCCCUACAUUCCCGAUUGUUCGGCUAGGCGGUAAAGGGAGCACCUCUGUGAUUGUUACUACCGGGUCAUCCAAGUUAGUACCUCAGACUAGGUGAAGCCGAAAGCUAGCAAUCUUAAAGGAUCACAUUGGUCGGCAACGACGGAAAUAAUUUUUUUGGUUCAUUACUAACACAGAGUUCGGGAAUUUUCCCUGAACUAAAUCCUCAAUAUUUUCCUCCCACAUUGCUCAUAGGUGAGUUUUCAUGAUCAUGAUAAGCAUGACGACCCAAAGAAAUGAACCGACAGCGGGACUAUUUUCUUUGGAAGAUGUUUCUUACGUUAAAACGUAAUAUAACACAUCUCUCCGUGUACCUUUGUUUAUGAAACCGUAUGACCGGAUUGCCUUGUUUGCCAUAAAACUUUGCCCUUGUAAAGGCUUUAUAAAGUAGGACAAACACUCCCCAGCUACUGGCCGAGGAGGUUGAAGCCGAUGGUCGGUCAACAAAGUUUUGUACAAUAUGGAUCUGAGCAUUAAUGAUGUAAAGUACUUGGAUACAUAGAAUCAUUACACCUAAAAAUUGCGAGUAAAAUCCAUUUACUGAAAUCCAUCUUUUAAACCCCUUGGGGCCUACCUUGGCGAGCUCGGAUUUCGACAAGCUCUAAGCUCUUUUAAGAGAUCUUUAUUCUCUUUCCGAGAAGUUUGUGUUAAACACAACAAAAUUUUCUGUCAAACGGAUAUCGAUCCUUAAUUCGGCCACCCGUGCCCACAUUAAGGCUCGGGGGCUACUGGGCUUUGCCCUCAUUAUUUACAAAUAUUAAAGGGGCAUAUCGAUCCCCUGAUCUGGUGUUGCCACCCGACCAGUGGCUCGGGGGCUACUGCAUUGUCUAUUCAAUGCGGAAAAUUCAAAGUGCUAAGUGUUCGGCAUAAACCGAACUAUGGACAAGUGCCUCUUCGGACGACAAUAAGUACCAUAGGGGACUUAUCCGGCAUCAAGCUGAUAUAUCAUGACGACUUAUCACGACCUUUUCUCAGGGGCCCGUCCGCCGAUCACUAUUACCUGUAUAUAUUACACUGCGUUUCUAUUCCUAUGUAUGCUGCCGAGCUAGGAGUUGAUCCUCAGGCCGAUUUCACGACCUGAGUCUCAGAAGCUACUAGGAUCAACGGUUUCAUAUUUUCCUUCUGGUGCAUCUCGGAUUUUAGGCCGACAGACACCUUGAGGGCUACUGGCAAUACAUCUUGUCAGCAAAUAAAUUUAUACGCAUCAGAAAUAAAAUCCACAAACAAUCAGCAAAUGACCAAGGUGUUGAGCCACCUCGAAAGCAGUUUGGCAUAUAGCUCGGAUGCGAGUGGCUGGCUCCUUAGAGGGCAUUUCCGGCAUUAAGCUCAGCUGAAACUUUUUUGAGCCAUGGUGAUCUAUGACACCUCGGAUAUAAUCCGGCGUUGGAGCUUGGACACGGUCCGACGUUGGAGCUCAGAUACAUUCGGGCGUUGGAGCUCGGAAGCGGUCCGGCGUUGGUGCUCGGCUACAAAAGAUACCUCGAAUACAGUUCGGCGUUGGAGCUCGGAUGCAAGAGGACACUGCCGCUCGGGAACAACUUCAAACCCGAGGUAUGGCAUAAAAAUAACUAGGCAUUGAUGAAGGCCGAUAACUCAAAGGGGUUCCUCGGAUACCCGAUGUGUGAACUCUUUGGAUUUACUUCGGCGAUCCUCAAGAUCGAAGAUGAGAAGAUUUGUUGAACCAGUUUUCAAGACUGUCGACCGAAGAUGAAGAACAGUUCAAAAGAAUCGAGGAACGUCCCCAACUUGAAGACCGGUUCAGGGGGCUACUAACGGUGUCCUAGACUAGGGGUUACUCACCACGUCGUCUCCCGAUCAGUUGGAUUUGGCCGAAGACCCCCGUGGCCGUUUACUCAUGGGCCAGUUCGGACAGCUGAUGACAUAUACGAGGAAGAUUCCACAAGACUUGGUGAUCAAGACAAGGACUCCUCUCCACCGACCUAUUCGACUAGGACUCUUGUUAUCCUACGCCUCUGGUAUGUUAUAUAAGCCGAGGCCAGGCUGGUUGAUAGAUUAUGAUAUUACUCAUCAUACCUCUAUGGUUUAGACCACAACAUAUGAUCUCAAGGUAGAUCAACUCUUGUAAUCCUCAUAUUCAUCAAGAUCAAUCAAGCAGGAAGUAGGGUAUUACCUCCAUUAAAAGGGCGCGAACCUGGGUAAACACCGUGUCCCUUGUCUCCUGUUACCCAUCGAUCCUAGAUUCACAGCUUGCAACCUCCUACCCGAGAUCUGCCGGUUUUGACACCGACACCCAGGUUGAAGCGAUGUAUUCCACCAGUUGACUGGAGACUUUAUUAUUGGUAUACCGAUCGGUCCAGCACGGACUGAAAUAGGAGCCGGUUCGACAGGAAGCUUUUGAAAACGUAGUGCACCCAGGUAAAUAUGGAACAAGAUGAAUACAGAAGUUAAACGAGCAUCCCACACCCAAAAGGUACCCCACAUAGGCCUUCCCCGAAACCCCCCAGUCACUAAUGUAAACAAAGUAGAAAAAGCACCAAUUUCUGUACCGGUUCCGGAAGAGCGAAGAAAAAGGGGAGGUUUUGUUAAUGGGAACAAGGAACUGUUUAUAGCUAUCGCGAUAUAAAUAACUAUACUCAUCUGAGCCGCAGGAACAUGUACAUAUGAAAUACGAGAAUUUCCACCUUGUUGAAGAUCUUGUGGUGCUACCCGAAGACUUAAAUGAAUAGCCAUCGCUGUUAAGAACGACCUAUGCCUUAUGUGUAUUGGAUCCGCUCUUCUGUUAGCAUGAACACAUGAAUGAGAUUAUAUUCCUCUUCCUUAUUCUUCCCUAAAUAGAACCCCCCCAACCUAGGUGCGGAAGUAAAAUAAAUCCUUGUUUGUACAUCACUGAACUUACAUACCCGGGCCUGGCUCAACAUUCUUUUAAAACAAUCGAAUAACGGCUUUUCCAUGACUUGGCCAUUCAAUCUUGUGAACUAAUCGAGACCGAAAUUGGAUAAAUAGAUACAAAAGGAGAGGAAUACCCAAUCGAUGAAAGAACAUGAAACCCUUCUGUUUCUAUAGAGGUGCGGGAAACGGUUGGGGGCAAUAAAGUAGGUGAAGUGGUUGGAUUUUGCGAGUUGUUCCAACCACUGCUGGAUGUGAUUCCAAGAGCCGAACGAGAAUGAAUACCACACAUAAGAGUCAAGACCAGGCUCCCUAAUAGAAUGUUUAACCGAUCCAUUCCAGAUUGAUCGAAUUGGUACGGAAGUUGUAACAUGGGAAAAGCACAGAAAACACGACUUAUUUGAAUAACCCGGUGUCCUACCAAUUGUAGAAGUAGGAUUUUUGGCAAGCAAUAAGCACUUAAAUAAUACAAUUCGAGUGUACUAGAUUCUUUAUCAUUUCGAGGAAAAGGUUCGGGAGGAAAGGGAAACAACAGAGGGAUCCGAAUCGAACCUAAAUGGGAAUGACAUGAAAAAUGUUUUUCAAAACCUAUCAUUAAGGGCGUGACGACGAUAUAUGAGAGGAAUAAAAAACUCGUGAUUGGUGUGGAGGGGAAGAUCUGUUUAUGAAAUUGUUCAAGAAAGAGUCGUCUCGUUUCCUUACUUCUGCGUUCUUUCGAAUUCAUUCACUUCGACGGCUGGCGCUACGCUAGCUUUGCAUGAUUAGCUCCGACAGAACAGGUACUGCAUUUCCUUAGUUGGAUCCGCUCUUUCUCUCUCGUGCAGUUGUUGCUUACGGCUAUUUAUUCAGUCAUCAAUCAACAUUGAUCCGGGUAGUUAGUCGGUCUCUCUCUUUUUGCCCGUCCUUCUCUAUCUAUGAAUUUAGGGAGUUCGCUUUCCAAUAUCUAAAUGUUCAUGCAAAGCAACAAACAAAAUGCAAGAACUGUCACGCAGAAGUCACACAGUAUGCUGAUCGUUCUAAAAUGAUAAAAAAGUAUGGGAUUUCAUAAGAGAUUCAUACAUAGAGAUCUAAACUCAUGGAAGGGCCCGGCCAGCAAACAAGAUCUCUUACAUCCAAAGGACCAUGCCAAUCAAAGAUGAACCAUUCACCGAGCCGAGUAUGUGCAAGACGAGACACGGCUAGAUAAGUCAAAUAGAAGAUAUUGCUUUUACACGAGCAACUCUUUUCUUCAUGUGGGUACAGCCCACUUUUCCUUUGAUGAAAUGCGAACACAAACUUCAGGCAUCCAAGAAAGAAGUCAAGAUCGAAAUCGAAGCAUUGUCAUUUGGUUGAAGAUCAAUUCAUAUCGACAAGACUUCCCAUUCAUCUUUUUGUUGAUAUUUGGAUUCCGUUUUCAAAUAAAGUCAUCUUGUAGUUAGAAAUCACCUUUAGAAUCAUCAGCCUCUGCCCCUACACUGACUCGCUUAUCCAGGAUCGAUCCUCACUACAGUCCUUUAUUUUGAAACGAGGAUAGGUCUCUCACGGAACGAGGUGUAUAUUGAGAAGAAAGAUGAGGAUAUGGUCCAUACUCACUCGGGUUCAAACUUAUUUUGCAAGGAGAAUUGGUACAUGCCUGUAGAUCUUCUUCUCACAGCGAGCACUUGAUUACGGAGCCUGAUUCUAUAUAUUAUUUAUGGAUUAUUAUAGAAUCUAUCUUUUUCUGCAAAUCAUAGUGGGAAUCCUAUUACCGAUACCUAAAUGUUUUCUUUGUCGAAAAAGAAAGGAGGGAAAUUGGAUAACCGACGACAUGAGUUUCCUGUUCAACGUUCUGCUUCGCUUCACUGUUAGAUAGGCAAUUCAAUAGUUACCGACGAAAGGAGUUCCCCUUCUCUUGGCCAAUUGACGUUCUGCUUCAAUAAGUCAUGACCUUCACUCUCCUCAAGUGAGGAGGGUAUAUUGUUUGACCAACGAAAGCCUCACUAGUUACUUCUUCCAGUUCACUAUUCCCGUAGCCUGAUACGAGUUAUUUAGUUUGUGUCUCCUUGUUCUUCGGAAGAACCGAAGGUUCAUUUGCGGCACUCAUAAACAUAGUUGUAUUUCAGACCCACUUCUUUCCCUAAAAAGCUAAUAAAUCAAAACAAGAGAAAAGCAGAAGCGAAAGCUCGAGUCGAAGAGUGGAGGUCGCUCGGUAACUCGAGUCGAUCAGUCCCAUUCAUUCUUGCCCAAAACAAGUGGGCUAUUCAUUCCGGUGCCACCUUUGUUCAAUCGAGUCCAUGUUCUCUAUUUCGCAAAACAGAUUCGUUCACCGACCCGUGGACCAGAGGUUUAAAGCUUGGAAUUGACCUUUCUAGCUUUCUUUAGUACAAUCUUUUUGCGAAAGCAACCCCGGGUUCGUUCCUAAGACUACACUGACAGCUUUCUCUGUUCAUGUUCCAGCAUAGGAGAUCUAUGGUAGGAUAGGGACAAAGCUUUAGGGCUGCAGUCAAUGCGCGUGGCUCAUCAUAAGACCUUAGCCUGAUGUCCUACCCAAAGACUUCAAAGGUAGUCACAGGACAACCUUUCCGAGUUCUAACUUCCAAAACUAUAACUUGGUUUGCUUGCCUGCUUCCUAUCUGACCUAUCAAUCAAAGAAAUGUUCUAGUUCCGCGAUACGAGCUUGACUGUGGCUUUGAGACAUUAGAUUUCUUGGUUGGGGUCCCUUUAUCAAAGGCCCCCUUCCCUACUGAUCAUACAACAAAUGAAGGUGGUUAGAAAGAUGGCACAUCGAUCUUCUGUACACCCUGUUCGUGCUGCGAAAUGCAGAAAAUCCACCUUCCUUGGAAAAAAAAUUCCUGACUCUGAAGUAUCAAAGGAGACUUGGGUCGCGCCUUCUGAAGAGCCCUUCAUUCUGCGACUCAGAUAGGCUAGGAUUCGUGCCGGAAGGGGUCGUAGGACUGACUCAGACAAAGCGUCAGAAGUACGAUCUCCGAAUCUAUAAGCUUUGGCCUGCCUUCUUCCCUUAUCUAAUCUCUUAGGUAAUAAGAAAGUGGUGUUAAUUGUCACGCUAAGGAGCUGACCAGUGACAUUUCUGUCUCAAUUGUAGUCAACCUUACUAUACUCGCUUGUAGGAGAUCAUCGCUCAGAAGGGCAUUCUUUCGCUAGAAAAACAAGAGUUUGAAGAUCACUCAACCCACGAAAAGUUCAGAACUCUCGAUCUAGCCCCACUGUCUAUAUCAAUUUAUCGACAUGUUGUUUUGAAUGUCCUUGAAAAGGCAGACUAAGGCAUAGCCUAGUGGUGGGAAGGGGCUGAUGCCUUCCCACCCACCCAGGUUCAAGGCAUGGUACUUGCAAUUUGGGUUUGUUGCACCAAUUAUACUGUAAGGGGUUCCGUUACAGUCUUUCUGUCAAAAAAAAUGUCCUUGAGAAGGCCUACACACAUACCCUGCCACUCGACGUGUAGUGGGUUUGUUCAGUAGAGAUGGGUAGAGCGCACAAGUAUUGGAAGGAAAGUUUCACCCUUGCUAAAAGAGAAAAAGUCUGUAUUGAACUAUGAUUUGAAUUCCUUUCUUAUUAGUUUCCAAGUGCAAAAUGUUCAUUGCCUUGAUCAGAGCCUUUAAGCCUUUUAGAAGUGAGCAUUUGCGCAGCUUCUAUUUUUCCUAAAGCUAAUGAACCGAAUGGAAGAGAAAAACUUGGAAUAAAUAAUAAAGAAGGAACCAACAAGAAAAUAAAGAAUUGUUCCAACCUCGGCUCGGGGUCUGUCUGGAAAUGGAAAAUAGUUCUCUCUCUCAUCUGUUCUCGCCACAGUGACAAGAAAAACAAGUGAAUAAUUGGAAUAGAACGCAAUCGUCAACCAAAAUCGGGCAGGAUGUAUUAUAAAAGAAAGCCUUGCCUCACUCGCAAGUGAGGACCUCACCCCCUCCUUCCUCAGCUAUUGAGAAUGGAAAAAGACAAUGUUCAUUGCUUCCUCAAAAUAAGAGUUCCACGGGCGGCUGCUCCUGAACGAGCUGCUCAUGCUCAAACUGAUCAACAUAAAGUGGAAAGUGUAGUAGAGAUAUUACUCGCUGUAUGAGAAGGAAGAGAAGAUCUAACCUCUCUACUUCACACCUCUGUACCAACUUCAUUCCUAGCUAAAACAGGAAAGCUGAAAGUACUCAAGCUUCAAACUCCUUGUUAACAACCCUACCGAUAAAAGGAACAAUGCUUCAAGGACUAUAUGACUAGCUCGUAUACGAGUUCCUGGUAAACCACUACUUGCGUAAAGUACUCCUCUCGCUCCCCUGCUCGUUCAAAGUAUUCCACUCGCUAGGAUCUUAGUAAAUAAGCUUGCUCCUUACCUUUCCUUCCUAGCUUUGAGAGCAAUACCACCUGUAAUAACACAGUGAAAUUAUCCUACUUAGGGAACAGGCUGGCAUAAAGGGCAAAAGAGAAAGAGUUACACCCGGUGUAAAAACAGGUGGUGUUACUUUCCUGCUUCCACCUGAACCUGCUUGCAGGCCUUAUAGAAAAGUCUUGUAUAAAAUAACUAGCUUGAGAACAGGAAGUCUCUAACUUACUUGUAGAUAACGAACUUGCUGAAGGAGGUUAAGAUAGUUUUCCGUUAAUGGGGAGAGAGAAAAAGAGUCCUCGCUUUAAUAAUCGGUAAUCAGAGUCUAGGCUUACUACAUCCAUAUUGUACGACAACCUAUGAACUGACAAACUCAACAGCUUGCCUUAGAGAAACUGUCCUAACUUAUCCAAGUACUCCUAAUAAAUGGCCGUGAUGAAAUACUCUUCCUUUCCCUGCUGCCCUCACGUGAAGUACUCGAAACCUGACUAAUGCUGACAGGAAAACAGAGCUUCCUUCAAACGCUGAUCGAUACCAUCCACCAGAAGAAAAUGCGACCGCAACCACUUCCUGAAUCAGCACUGUCUGGAGGCUUUGCAUCUGUAUUUGGAGCUGGGCAUGCAUCCAUUGAUUCUAGCACUUGGAUCUUUGAACGCUCGAAAGAGAAAUACAAUCUCCGCCCUACAAGUGGAUCGAUAGGUUCAUACGUCUUGUAGUUGGUGCAGUUCUGGGAAGGAAUGGGCUAGUACGAGUUCUGGUUUAGUCAGUAGUUCACUUCUCCCUUCUUGUCUGCAAACAAAGCAAACUAGAAGCCUGCUUUUGCUGAAGACAGAGCUCAAUGAGAGGAGGUGGGCAAGUAUUAGUUAAGGGAUAUCAGGAAGGAGGUCGAAGAAAGGGGAAAGAGCUUCAUCAUCGAUUCGCAAUUGAAAGUAGGGGAAACUAUGAUUCUAUCGAAUGUGCGUAUCGAUUGGGGCUAGUGAAAGAUUACGGUAGGGGAACCCAUUUCACUACUGACUUCGUGUAUGAGUGACAAAAAGUCAAGGCAGAAUAGCCCCUUCAAAGUAGGGGCUUCAGAACCCGCUUAUCUUCCUUAAUUUAGUGAAUGGUGGGUGCGCAAAGUCUUGAGUUUUGGACCUCUUACGGAAAAAAGGAGAAGACAACCAUUGUACCGAUCCACUACUUGAAUCUACGAGGACUAGUUUAGUCGGAUCUAUUGUUUUACCACUCACUAACAGGACUUUCCUGCUUAGGAUUGAUAAGAUAGGAAGAUCAUUUUCUUUCUCUUGCUCUGUACAAUAGAAAUAGUGUACUAAGGUAAGUUCCAUUAAGUUAGGGCUGGUUAGUGAAGUUAAGUAAGAGGGAGUUCUAGUUAAGUAUGCCCAUAACUCUUGCUUCUAAUUGGUUAGUGCAGGAUACUACUCACCCCGUCCAGUUCUGGAGAAGAGAAAGGUUGCGUUCCUUCUUUUCUUUCAGAUAGUGGGAUGCGUUGAUCUGCUGAAUCAAGAAGAUCAAGUCCUCCCGGGCAAGGCGAACCUAGUGGUUUCUAGUUCAGUGCAGCCUUUUCCUCAGAGCUAUUUGAUAAUGGGCCCAAUGAAGACUUCUUCCCCUGAGGAUAAGUCGAUACUAGUAUCUGGUCUGCUUUGGAGAGUAUAAGUCGAUAUUUGUUUCUGGCCUGCUACUGAACUUCGCAUCGCGCUAGGUGAGGCGAGAAGUGCCAGCAAAGGCCUCUGUUACGAAUUACGGGAAACAAGCAAACAGAACAGGUUUGAUAACUUAAUCAGGUGCCAGGGCCUCGGAUCUAGAGGUUCCAGGAAGGAGGAAGGCUCGUUUCAUUAUCGAAUAUCAUGUAGAACUCACUUGCCCUGCCUUUUGCUAGGAAUCCUAUCGUUAUGCUUUGGUCAGGUUAUCCCAUAAAUCAAGGGCCCUACAUUCUAUUAUUUAUUGUUCAUAUCUGAAAGGACAGAUAGAAAGCUUAAACCCCGCUUGGGGAGAAAGAUGAAUCUUGGCGAGAGUAAGGAAUCGCACCCUUAGCGUGAGGGGAAUAGCCGGUUUCCUUUCCUUAACUAGACUACCUUACGGUAGAUCGACUGGGCACGUCAACGUAUGUAUUCUGUCUUCCCAAUCAAACAUUAGUCAUUGCAGCUAUUUCAUCUGGUCUACUAGAGUAGAGAGAUCUCUCACUUCACUGCACAUCAUGCUAACUAAUAGCUAGCCACCUCACGGAUCACCUCAUUAUGUGCAGCUAAAGCGGGGUGUGUGCAUUGUUCAACUAGAGCCGAGGAGCACAAAAGAAUAAGGAACAAUAGGUUCGCUACCCGAUUUCAACAUUUUCCUUGAUUUGAAAUCAAUCCAAUAUACUUUCUAGAAUCUAGAGUGAUAUCAACAACCUCCUAGUUGAAGUACAGACGAGGAAGCAGCCUAUUAGUUUCAGUCCAGUCCAGGAAAGGAGCGGAGCCUAUUGAUAUAGCUUAGUAGAGCUUCGCCAUGAUAUCAGUUUGUUUUAACAAGUAGUAGGAAUGCGCGCUGAUGUGCCAAAUCUCCUCAUGCUCCUUCCGGAUAAUCCGAAAUCUACGGGUAAAGGAAAGAUCAAGGUUUUCUCCUUGAUCAAUCGACUUGCCUGCUUCCUUUCAUCUGGCCAACGGUUCCUAUAUCAUUAGCUAGAUCUGUUAUGUCAACCUCAGAGACAUAUGCUUAUGUAAGAAGAAGGUAUCCCGAUGGAAACAUGUCAAGUAUCCGCCUGGCAUCGAACUCUAUUUUCUGUAUAUUAAUGAAAGGUUAGACUAAAUCGGGGUAGAGGAAUUGGUCGACUCAUCAGGCUCAUGACCUGAAGACUGCAGGUUCGAAUCCUGUCCCCGCCUAAUCAUGUGUACGAUUCAAUGAAAUAGCUAUUUGGAGUCCACUGAUGAUUUGCUAAUUGUUUUAUGAUCCUUGACUAGCUAUAUAGACCCUAGGAACUUGCAUGUGCUAUUACUGCUGUAUAAAGGAAAGGUGGCUCACGUCACCACUCUCCCCUAUUCCGAUAGGAAGGAAGAGUCCAUCAAAUGCAAGUCGCUACCAGUUUCGUAUUUUGGAUGAAUACCAUCGCACCAUUUGACCUCGAUGUAACGAGUACUCAAGGAAUCCUCUUGAAUUCCAGUCAUGAUGAUCAGGUCCCUGGAGUACAUCACCCUCAUCCGGAAGAAAAGAGAGAGAAGUGGAGUAAAAUGGAUUCAAAUGCCGCAUUGCAAGUGAACAAAAGAAACCAGUGGAAAUAGAAAGAGAAUGAACAAGUGUAUCAAUUCAUGAGUUAAGGAAUACUAUUGGGAAGAUUGGGUGACUAAUAUCCUGAGAAAACAAUCUCUUGCUUCCCUUGAAACAUGCUGAGAGGACCAUUUCGAUUAGUGAGAAGCUUAGUUCAUGGGUCAUGACGACAAAUCAUAUCAUGUACCAGUGCACUGUUCUUUAUAGAUCUAUGUUCAGUGAACAAGAAUGUAGUGAGGGGUGCUACUUUAGUGUUAUUCCUAGACUGAUGAAGUGAAGACUUUAGGCCUCGCUAAUAGUGGACCAACUGAGAAUGUUUGUUUAUCUUUUCUGUAGAUAUCUCAAUAUUUCUUGAAAGCCUUAUGAAUGGUGGCGAGGAUGUGGAAGAGCUAGUCAUAUAGUCCUUUAAGCUUGAUUCCUUUUAUCGGUUAGCAAGGAGUUUGAAGCUUGAGUACUUUGAAGAGCAUUUAAGAAUAGCUCAUAAGCAAUUCCAAGUGGCAGAGAUGACUCGAGGGAUCUCGUCAGAUAAGCAUAUCCUAUGGUUAAUGUGGUACCUGGUCCAGUCAACUUGGAAGUAGAAACUGACCACUAGUGGGUGUCAAUUAAAAAGUCACUCUGUGGCUAACGCUUCUACUGUUAUCGGCAGGGCUUAGUCUCUCGUGGUUCAUUUCCACCGGAGAGCAUCUGUUUGAAUAAUUAGCGUAUAUAGUUGAUCACUCUAAUGACAACGGAUUCGAUUCGCAAAUUUCUCAUGAUUGACCGAAGGAAAGGUUAGCGACUCUUUCCCUACGGAAUCUCCAGUAGAGCCAUUGCAUAGCUGGCAGACACGAUAGGCUCAGGGUUUCGACUGCUGUUCAUUCCGAUCUUAGGUCUCGCUCAGCGAAUUCAGAAGGGUUGGGUCCUUUGUCAAUGACUUACUUUCCUAGUAGCAGAGAUGCAAGAAUAACUACUUUCUUCUGCUAGGCGUUUCUUUGUUACCAGCUGAGAAAUAAUACUCGUUUUUAUCGGAUGAGGGGGAGUGUCUUUGUUUGUUCAACGUGCAGAUCCGGGAGGAAGGGGCAGGACUUGUUGUUCGGGCAGUCUAGUUUUGUUUUUGUUUGGUGCCGGUGUCCCAGUAAAGGAUGUAGGGCUUGCUCUUCCAACAACCGCUCUCUUCUCUCUUCGCUCCCUGAUGUCUUCUCUUCAUCUUCGGUAUUUUUUUUGAGGAUUCAGAUUCACUCAUAACUAUAAGAAGAGUGUGGGAUGGAGGAAUGGAUUACGGAAGGAGACAGAUUCUAUAUAAAAUGGAUUAAGGUGGGUUUCGGAGAUUAUACUUAGUUCGUGGACAUAUUAGAUACUACCUAAUUUUCGUGAUCUUCUGCCUAAUAAAAUAAUGCAAAAUAAAAAAAGUAGUACCAUGAGCAGCUUAGACAAGAAUGGAUUUGGGAAUGACAAAUAAUAGUUGGCGAGAGCCCGAGGAAUUGUUAUGUGAAUGGGAGAUAGAUGGAGUGGGGCCUUGCAAUAGGAGUAGAUGCUACAGAUGUGGUGUCAUUAUCAGCGAUUCCUCAAUCGAUCAGAAGAAAGGGAAUAUAACCUGCCCCUCAUUGUCCUUCAAUCAUGGUGCAAUGAAUAUCGUAGCUAGAGUGAUUUCAAUCUCAUAUAGCUAGCUUUCCUUUCAAAGUGAAACGAUUUUCCUUUUACGUUGAGAUAUUUGAAUUGGAUUUUCUUUCACCACUACCAUCGUAACGCACAGAAAACACUGACGUUUCCGCUCGCUUUCAACCACUGCCACUUUACCUGAGCACUGUGACGCAGUCGGUCAAGUAUUGAGUUUCUACUAGUAUAUCAAGGACUUAUGAGAAAUGAAAAGAAAAAAAGGAAAAAAGGAAUUCUCAUAGUUCAUUGAAUUAAGGGAGGGCCAUUCGUGGGGGGUUCGUGGAAGAGUUGGGUUCGAUUCCCUUUAUAUGCGAUGUGGCGAAAAAGACUAAUUCAACGAAAUAUGCCAUGCCAGCAUUAAGAUUUAAAACGUGUCGUCUACUUCCAGGAAAUGUUCGAAACAGAGAACUUUCUCUAAUCCAACGCCGUAUUCUCCAAAGAUUGAGGAACAAGAGGAGAUCCAUUAAAAGAAAUCUUUCUCGGAGAGAAAAUCUAAACAGUAACAUCAAAUCCCAAACUACACGAAAGUUGUCUCUUUAUUAUGGGUAUUUACCCAUAAGGGAGAUGCACAGAGGAAGAGAAUGAACUUCAUAUAUCCCUUUUUUACUCAAUCAAGAAACAAGGUCGUACGUGAUUCCGGUUCGUCUCCAUUUUAGUGACACUCUUCCUCAAGCAAGGCAGCCGAUAAGUCAUUGAAGGGUUUGUUUGAAUAAUGGACUGGUAACCAUUACUCAUUUGAAAGUUUCCCACGGUUAUCUAAUAUCUUUUAAAGAAAAUGACGUGAGAACCCGCAGUUUUGAAAGAAGGAGACCUUUCUGUAUCAACAUAUCAGUUGGAAAUAUCAUAGGCAAAAUCCUAUCGGCCAUAUCAGUUGGAAAAGAAGAGGCAAAUUCCUACCGGCCAGAAUCUAGAGAAGAACAAAAAAAGAAUGGUUCCGCUUACUCACAACUCAGAGGGGAUGCCGCUUACUACUCAAAUCCAAGGAAUUGCAAAGGUUGCGUUCUUAUAUGCAAGAAGAAGACUUUGAAAGAACAAAGAAGUUUGGAUCUGCAAAAGUAUGCUUAGGCAGUUCCUUCGCUGAGCACAACAGAAUGAAGAGGAAUUUGUUUCAUUUCAAAUACUUCUUCUUAUUGAAAAGAGGGAUGGAGAAAAACCGAAAUCUUCCUACUCGAACAAUAAUUCCUUUUGUAGAAAAGUCUUCUUUAUAUAGUAAUUCGACCUAUUGCUCCGGAUCCCCGUUUACUAGGAAGAUAAGAAUCAAAGGGUCGAACUACCUACUCAUUAUUCGGAGGUGAAUCAUAGAACACUAAAAGCUGUGGUAUCUUAUGGACCUAACAUAGGUCACAUCCCUCACGACAUAAGAUUGAAAGAUCCAAACCUUCCUCUUUGGAGCGGAAGCGGACGUGGCCAAAAUAUAUAAAAAAAUAUCGGCCUAGUCGCUCAUAGGGACAUAUCUAUCCAGAUAGAGGAUAGUCUAGAUCAAUUUUGAGAAAAAUCUCUCUAUAUAUAUAGAUAGGUAUCUCUGUGGAUAGAGAUAAAGAUAGGGAACCCUAUAAAUCGAAAUAUAUGGAAAAAGUGCACUUUUUGACUACUACUGCUAUUUCUCAGACUUUUUCAAGGAAACAUCAUUUUUUCAAUUUUGACUGAAUUGGUCGGAGCGUAGACGAGCAAGCAGAGCCCAGGAAAGAGGUCAGAUCGUCAUAGAGCAGUCGACUAUAAGUAUAAGACUGCUGGCCUGAGAGAAGGUAGGCUCUCUCGGGAAACAUGGCCCAAUUUCUCUUCUUUCUUUUCACACGGGCAACAAUUGGGAAUAAAAAAGACCAUGAACAUGAGUUUAAAAUGUAAAGAAGGGGAAGAGUGCAUUCUCCACUUUCUUAUCUCUAAAAUGCAUAAUAUAGUGAUGUCAUGUGUCUGUUUCUCUGAAAAGGUGGGUCGGCCCUUAGGGCAAACAGUAGUGCCAGGUUCCAUUGUGGAACGGUCGUUUGCCGGUGACCUUUGUCCACUGUAGUACGAGUGACUGGCGCAUCACAUCCAAUCUCUCAUGUCAAUGAGUCAGUUAGAAAACAACUCCAAAUGAAUUAGUGAUUUCCCCUUUAUUUCCCUCGGAGCGCAAGGGGAAACAAGAUUGAGAUUGAGCGCAAGUGGUCAGCUCUGAUACAAACCAGGGGAAAAAGAAGCUGGAAAGCCUUCUUUAAGGCGCUACUAUUUCUAGCGGCAUAGGUGCUUUAUCACAAUACGAAAGAUGUACAUACGAGGACUACGAUUCCUAUUUAGAGAUAUUCCUACGAGCGAUAGACGUAGUAAGGAAAUUACGUACGCCAAUAACAAAUACGAAUUACGCCUACGAGCCUACGCAAUGGCAUGUUUCGGCGUAUAAAGCUAAGAACGAGAAUAUCCUACUGCCUCCACUCGGAAAAGGCAAAGGUAUCCAGUAUAGGAUAUUGAUGAACGGAGGACAAGGAAAGCAGGCAAGGUGAACCUCCUUUGCCAAAGCCCUUUUGAAAUACCUUCUUUUUGAACCUUUAGAAAAUACCUGCUAGCUAUCCCUAGUUUUGUUUAACCAGCUUUCCCCCAAAAAGGGGAGAUCCGCUGCUUACUGCUCACGGAAACAUCCGACCUUAUGGUCAAGUCGUCCGCCUAUCUUUCUGAUCUCAUUCGUUUUCCAAUUGCAUAAAAAGUCAUGAGAUCAAAAAAGAAAUGUGAGAAUGUAGUUACAGAUGUAAAAAAAGUCAAUAUCUCAUUCUCUUGUUCUUAAAUCAUGAAUUGGAUGAUGUGUGUUUCAUCAAGUAUGAACAUAUUGCAUUUUUUGCUAUGCAAUUUCAGUACCGGAUCGACGUCCAUUUAUUUCUGUGUCCUCAUCCGCGUGUAUGUCUGUGUUAGAUAGGCUCUGGAAGGCCUUACUUUACUAACAGGUAGGGCGCGUUACUUUUAUUCUUUUUUUGCUGCUUACCCGCAUGUUUAGAUUAUUUACUUGCCCUUUCACUUUUUCUUCGGCUGUCACCAACUUUGUUCAAUGCUAGUCCCUAACCCAUGAAUAAGGGCUCCGCUGGCUACCGGGUUCAGAGAAGUUUGUAAGCUCUUUCUCUUUUUUCAUUUUUCGCCACCUCCUGUGUCUUUCCGUUUAAGGUCUUUAAUUUUCGGCAUUAGCUUCGUUAGAGAAAGCCAUGCGUGAACUACAAAGCAUGGGAUCCUGAACACCACGAAAGAAAGCGUACUACUUUUCAAUAAGGUCCGACUUCAGAGAGGAGAGACAUGAACUUGUUUUAGGCGUAGAAAAGGCAUAUGGUAUGAAAGAUUGAUUGAAAAGAGGUAUGGACUGGUCUCGCUUCUUAGGGAGAAUGAGACCUCUGUCGGAGCAAGCUAAAGAGCCCACUUUAUAUCGUCGAUUUCAGGUAAGGCACUCGAUCAAGCCUAUACAUCCGGGAAUUUAGCUCCAAACCAAAGACGACUUGCUUUGGUGCAUUUCUUCGGCCGGGGCUUUACUUGAUUUUGGCGACAGAAAGG
rnacentral:lncRNA from 1 species